UACGUAGGGUGCGAGCGUUGUCCGGAAUUAUUGGGCGUAAAGAGCUCGUAGGCGGUGUGUCACGUCGUUCGUGAAAACCUGCAGCUUAACUGUGGGCGUGCGGUCGAUACGGGCAUCACUGGAGUUCGGCAGGGGAGACUGGAAUUCCUGGUGUAGCGGUGGAAUGCGCAGAUAUCAGGAGGAACACCGGUGGCGAAGGCGGGUCUCUGGGCAGUAACUGACGCUGGAGGAGCGAAAAGCGUGGGGAGCAAACAGG
rnacentral:rRNA from 1 species